rnacentral:sRNA from 1 species
UGCAGGGCUGAGAUGGGUGGAUCGCUUGAACACAGGAGGUUAAGGCUGCAGUGAGCCGAGAUCGUGCCACUGCACACUAGCCUGGGUGGCGGGAGUGAGACCGUGUCUAAAAAACAACAACGACGACAACAACAACAACAACCAAAAAAUGGACUGAGGUUGGGGUGGCAAGGCUGGGCUGGAAUGGAGGCUGAGGCCAGGCCCUGGCAGCGCCCAGGGAGUAGAGGGCGUGCAGCAGGAAGCAAGGGCCACCCUCAGGGAUGGGGGACUGGGCCUGGCAGCUGCCGAGGCAGAGGGCAGGAUGCAUAUGGAGAGCCACGUGGGGCUGCGGCUGAGCCAAGGAUUGUGAGAGGAAUCCUGCUGCUCUGGGUGGCAGGCAGAAGGCCUGGGCUACAGGUGGGGCCUGCUGGGGAGACCACAGGUGAGGCAGGUCUGGCUGACCCUGGGCCCUCCGCACACCGGUACUCCUCCUGCCUGGCUGCUCCGUCAGCAGGUGUCAGAGUCUGAGUCACCUUCUCCUCACGUGACCCCCACCAGGACCAGGCAGGGAGGUGGCCAUCUUUGGCCCUGACUCAGCCCUGCAGGGAGAAGAGGGGCUGGAGCUGCAGGUGGCCUGCCGCUGGCUCCCCCAACCCCUGCCCACCUGGGUCUUGUGCUGUGUGUACUUGUGCUGUGUCUGUCCUCCCUUGUGACCAGCUUCUGCUGGAUCUGGUUGUCCAGCCAUGAUCUUCUGAUCGUUGUGGUUUCUGGACACACAUCUGUUGGACUGAGGAAUUUGUGUUCCUGGCCACAGAACAGUGGCCACCUCUGCCUCAAGCAGUUCCUGGUCUGGGCACUCCCCUGGGGAGGCUGGAGAGGACCGAGCCGUCUCCUGAUGCAGAAAGUCAGCCCCGCUGGGCAGUGCUCGCCUAGGAAGUAGGGCCCCACCCAACGGUGUGCUGACUGUGGAACAUUGUCUGCCCAGGCGGGUCUGGCUACAUUCCUGCAGCAUGAUGGUUGGCAGUUAGCUUCCUGGAGCGUGGAUGGGUCCUUCCCUGCCUAACUGACUUGUCCACAGGGCAGCAAGAAGAUGCGUCCCUUGGUGUGUCCCGAGUAUCUCCUGUAGGCAGCUGAGCUUUCACAGGUCUGGCUAGGAGCCAAGGUUACCAAUUUGGGGGGUAACCCAGCCAUCAUCUGGAUGAGCGUUGGGGUCUUUCUGCUCUGGGUUGCAGGGCAGACGUCGUUUUGUGCUGGUCAGGCCCCUCACCAGCCUGAUUCCCUCGGAGCCCCCCAAGACAGGAGAUGGGCAGAUGUCCUCUGAAGUGGCAUGGGCUGCUUGCUCACUGGCCUUCCCAGGACCCUGCCCAGGUGGCGCUGCUUGGCCCCAGGUCGAAUUCGUGUGCUAGCAGCAAUUAGGGGCCUGGGCCGUCGGCUGGCUGGGGCUCAUGCAGCCUUCCCCUUUGCAGCCAUCCGGGUGACCUGCACAGGUUCCUGCGGGGUCUCCAACAAGGCUAAUGACACAGCGUGGGUAGUGGAGGAGGGUUACUUCAACAGUUCCCUGUCGCUGGCAGACAAGGGGAGCCUGCCCGCUGGAGAGCACAGCUUCCCCUUCCAGUUCCUGCUUCCUGCCACAGCACCCACGUCCUUUGAGGGUCCUUUUGGGAAGAUCGUGCACCAGGUGAGGGCCACCAUCCACACGCCACGGUUUUCCAAGGAUCACAAGUGCAGCCUCGUGUUCUAUAUCUUGAGCCCCUUGAACCUGAACAGCAUCCCAGACAUUGAGGUGAGGAUGGCACAGUGACCUCCUUGGUGGGUCCCCACCCUCAUGGAGGCUGGGGAAGAGCUGGGCAGGCACUGCUUCAUCCCAGUGUCUUGUCCCCAGCUGAGGUGAGGGGGGCCAGGGUCUGGAGGCAGUGGCCUCUUUGCCCUGAGCUGACUGCUGAUGUCCAGGGGCAGGGCGUGGCAGGGCUGAGGGGCCUGUCCCAAUGCCACAGGGAUCCAGCCUGCCCACACCUGCUAAGCCCCUCCCUGGCCCUCCCCCCAAGCAACCCAACGUGGCCUCUGCCACCAAGAAGUUCUCCUACAAGCUGGUGAAGACGGGCAGCGUGGUCCUCACAGCCAGCACUGAUCUCCGCGGCUAUGUGGUGGGGCAGGCACUGCAGCUGCAUGCCGACAUUGAGAACCAGUCAGGCAAGGACACCAGCCCUGUGGUGGCCAGUCUGCUGCAGAAAGUGUCCUAUAAGGCCAAGCGCUGGAUCCACGACGUACGGACCAUCGCAGAGGUGGAGGGUGCGGGCGUCAAGGCCUGGCGGCGGGCGCAGUGGCACGAGCAGAUCCUGGUGCCUGCCUUGCCCCAGUCGGCCCUGCCGGGCUGCAGCCUCAUCCACAUCGACUACUACUUACAGGUCUCUCUGAAGGCGCCGGAAGCUACGGUGACCCUCCCGGUCUUCAUUGGCAAUAUUGCUGUGAACCAUGCCCCAUUGAGCCCCCGGCCAGGCCUGGGGCUGCCUCCUGGGGCCCCACCCCUGGUGGUGCCUUCCGCACCACCCCAGGAGGAGGCUGAGGCUGCGGCUGGCGGCCUCCAAUUCUUGGACCCCGUCUUCCUCUCCACCAAGAGCCAUUCGCAGCAGCAGCCCCUGCUGGCCACCUUGAGUUCUGUGCCUGGUGCGCCCGAGCCCUGUCCUCAGGAUGGCAGCCCUGCCUCACACCCGCUGCACCCUCCCUUGUGCAUUUCAACAGGUGCCACUGUCCCCUACUUUGCAGAGGGCUCCAGGGGGCCAAUGCCCACCACCAGCACCUUGAUUCUUCCUCCAGAGUACAGCUCUUGGGGCUACCCCUAUGGUGAGUCGAGGGCCAGGGCUUGGCAGGGAGGGGACGCCAGGAGCCCCAUGCAGACCCUGCUUUCUUCCCGCAGAGGCCCCACCGUCUUAUGAGCAGAGCUGCGGCGGCGUGGACCCCAGCCUGACCCCUGAGAGCUGACCCCGUGCUGCCUUCUCAAGGCAGGCCUGGCCUCUGCCCUGGGACUGGGGCGCCCAGGGCCUCGUGCCUUCUCUCUCGGCCUGGCCUGGCCCACUCAGGACCUGCCCAGCCUCUGCCAGCUCCUCUGGCAUCCGCCCUCUUCUCCGUGGGGCUGGGGUGGGGGUGGCAGGGAGCUGGGACCUGGAGAGACGACUCCUGUAAAUAAAACACUUUAUUUGUAG